GCCGGGCGUGCUGGUGCAUGCCUGUAAUCCCAGCUACUGGGGAGGCUGAGGCAGGGGAAUCGCUUGAACCCGGGAGGCAGAGGCUGCAGUGAGCCGAGAUCGCGCCACUGCAGUCCAGCCUGGGCGACAGAGCGAGACUCCGUCUCAA
rnacentral:SRP_RNA from 1 species